rnacentral:tRNA from 1 species
GAGGGUAUAGCUCAGUGGUAGAGUACCUGCUUAGCAUGCAUGAAGUCCAGGGUUCAACCCCCAGUACUUCCA